AAAUUGAAGAGUUUGAUCAUGGCUCAGAUUGAACGCUGGCGGCAGGCCUAACACAUGCAAGUCGAACGGUAACAGGAAACAGCUUGCUGUUUCGCUGACGAGUGGCGGACGGGUGAGUAAUGUCUGGGAAACUGCCUGAUGGAGGGGGAUAACUACUGGAAACGGUAGCUAAUACCGCAUAACGUCGCAAGACCAAAGAGGGGGACCUUCGGGCCUCUUGCCAUCGGAUGUGCCCAGAUGGGAUUAGCUUGUUGGUGGGGUAACGGCUCACCAAGGCGACGAUCCCUAGCUGGUCUGAGAGGAUGACCAGCCACACU
rnacentral:rRNA from 1 species